UACGUAGGGUGCGAGCGUUAAUCGGAAUUACUGGGCGUAAAGCGUGCGCAGGCGGUCUGUUAAGACCGAUGUGAAAUCCCCGGGCUUAACCUGGGAACUGCAUUGGUGACUGGCAGGCUUUGAGUGUGGCAGAGGGAGGUAGAAUUCCACGUGUAGCAGUGAAAUGCGUAGAGAUGUGGAGGAAUACCGAUGGCGAAGGCAGCCUCCUGGGCCAACACUGACGCUCAUGCACGAAAAGCGCGGGGGAGCGAACAGG
rnacentral:rRNA from 1 species